GUCAAACACCCCGGCCUGAGGGCCGGAGCUUGCGGGAUCACUCGCGGGCUCGAGUUUGACCAGACCAAGCGGUAGCCAGUCCGCUACGUUGUGCAGAAGUACAAGACCCACCGCUGGAUGCUUCCUCAGUCCGGCGCUCUGGA
rnacentral:sRNA from 14 species